AUGAUGGAGGAAUGUCAUCCUCAGUUAAACAUAUCAGUGCUCCAAACUCCAGUACAGGGGUCAGUUUCUCCAGGAGAGUCAGUCAGUCUGCAGUGCACAGUCCUCUCUGAGAUCAGAGCAGCAGAACUCCGAGUGCUCUGGUUCAGAGCUGCUGCAGGACAAUCCCUUCCUGAAAUCAUUUACACUCAUCAGAACAGCAGCAGCCGUCAGUGUGAGAUCAGCUCUUCUACACACUGCUCUGUGUACAACUUCUCCAAGAACAUCCUCGACCACCACCAUACUGGAACUUACUACUGUGCUGUGGCUGCUUGUGGGAAGAUCACUGUUGGAAAUGGAGCAUCAGUAGAGCUGAAGGGGCCUUUGGAUCAUGUUGUGACCCUUCUGGGAGCAGCUUUGGGAGUGUGUGUGGUUGUGAUCUCUGCUCAAGCCUUUAUAAUCUGUAAAAGGAGAAACACUGACCACUGCAGUGGUGAGUGGAGGAGCUUAGAGUCUUUUCUUUGCGUUAAUCACAGUUCAGAUGAACACUGUUUCACUGUUUAAGACCAAAU